ensembl:snRNA U5 U5 spliceosomal RNA
UUACUUGUGUUUCUCUUCAGAUUGUAUAAAUCUUUUGCCCUUUACUAAAGCUUUCCAUGGAGAAAAACAACUCAACUUAUAGACCAAUUUUUUGAGGCUUUAUCUUAGCAAGGCU